rnacentral:rRNA from 1 species
UACGAAGGGGGCGAGCGUUGUUCGGAAUUACUGGGCGUAAAGGGCGCGUAGGCGGCGAUCCGAGUCAGAUGUGAAAGUCCUGGGCUCAACCUGGGGACUGCAUUUGAUACUGGAUUGCUUGAAUUCGGGAGAGGAUAGCGGAAUUCCCAGUGUAGAGGUGAAAUUCGUAGAUAUUGGGAAGAACACCGGUGGCGAAGGCGGCUAUCUGGACCGACAUUGACGCUGAGGCGCGAAAGCGUGGGGAGCAAACAGG